rnacentral:misc_RNA from 1 species
AACGCACCUUGCGCUCCUUGGUAUUCCGAGGAGCAUGCCUGUUUGAGUGUCAUUAAAUUCUCAACCUCACCAGUUUUCUGAACUGUUCUCCGAGGCUUGGAUGUGGGGGUUUGUGCAGGCUGCCUCAGCGCGGUCUGCUCCCCUGAAAUGCAUUAGCGAGUUCGAUACUGAGCUCCGUCUAUUGGUGUGAUAAUUAUCUACGCCGUGGAUCGGGGCUUAGACUCGCUUCUAACCGUCCGCAAGGACAAUACCUUGACAAUUUGACCUCAAAUCAGGUAGGACUACCCGCUGAACUUAA